CACGAUGCAGGUGCAGAAAACGCAGAAACCGUAAACGAGAGUCCAAAAAGCCAGAAGCCUCAUCCUGCAAGCCAGGCGCACGAAAGAAAAUGAUUUGCAAUCACUGAAUACGAUCAGUGAAGGUGCAAGAGAGAAGUACAACACCACAAUCAAGAUGUGGAUUACAAGUCAAAAUGGAGUCAAAAAUGUAUAAUGCAACCACAUUCUGUAAGGUCUUUUUUCUCAGCACUUAACCUGAGGCAACAUGAUCUGUACUGAUUUUCCCCUUCUCCGUGAGCUGAUCCUUGAUAGAAUGCUUCCCAAGACUCACCAAAAGUCAUAUACCCAGUCCAAAGGAUUUAAGAGGUGAAGAUCUCCUAAGAGUCACAGGAGGCAAACAAACGUGUGUUGCAGAAGACACAUCAGCGCUGGGCAGCAGGAUAUUCCCAGGAACCAGUCAAGCCCAGAAAGGCCAGAAAAAAGGUGAAAGGACUGCAGCUUCCAGUCAAGCAGGCUUGAGGAAGGGUAAAAAAUGGCCUAAAGAUAGAAAGUGAAGAGUGCCUAUGAUCACCAGAAAUGACAGAACUCUUCCUGAAAGACCACCCCAGGCACUGCUUUACUGUGUUAUGAGAUGUUCAAUUUAAAAAUGUAUUUCUCUUAGAAUACAUUUUUCCAAGCAAAAGUAUAAGUAUGAUUAUUGGUUUCUUUAUUUCUGGAACAUUUCUGUGCAGUUGAUUUUACAUUAUAAUAUUUCUUGGUAUUUAUUUAAUGAUACCAUAAUGCUAUUUUAUUUUGCAUAUGGAUGCUGUCAUGUUAUGAUUCCCAUGACCAGCACAAUGCACUUGGUUGGCAAGGAAUGGAGUUUCAGACCAUUUCACGUCUUACAACAACAGUGCAACCCCUUAAUUACCAGCACAACAAUUUAUUUUUAUCAGUGAUU